GACGUAGGUGGCGAACGUUAUCCGGAAUCAUUGGGCGUAAAGGGUGCGUAGAUGGCAUGAUAAGUUAUUAGUGGGAAAUCGAGGCUCAACCUCGUGGAAGCUAGUAAUACUGUUUUGCUUGAGUACAGAAGAGGUUAACGGAACUCCAUGUGGAGCGGUAAAAUGCGUAGAUAUAUGGAAGAACAUCAAUAACGGCGAAGGCAGUUAACUAUUCUGUUACUGACAUUGAGGCACGAAAGCGUGGGGAGCAAAACGG
rnacentral:rRNA from 1 species